GACGAACGCUGGCGGCGUGCUUAACACAUGCAAGUCGAACGGAAAGGCCCUUCGGGGUACUCGCGUGGCGAACGGGUGAGUAACACGUGGGUGAUCUGCUCUGCACUUUGGGAUAAGCCUGGGAAACUGGGUCUAGUACCGAAUAGGACCACGCGCUUCAUGGCGUGUGGUGGAAAGCUUUUGCGGCGUGGGAUGGGCCCGCUGCCUAUCAGCUCGUUGGUGGGGUACUGGCCUACCAAGGCGCCGACGGGUAGCCGGCCUGAGAGGGUGACCGGCCACACUGGGACUGAGAUACGGCGCAGACUCCUACGGGAGGCAGCAGUGGGGAAUAUUGCACAAUGGGCGCAAGCGUGAUGCAGCGACGCCGCGUGAGGGAUGACGGCCUUCGGGUUGUAAACCUCUUUCAAUAGGGACGAAGCGCAAGUGACGGUACCUAUAGAAGAAGCACCGGCCAACUACGUG
rnacentral:rRNA from 1 species